AUUGGUCGAAGCUAUGUGUCAAUGAUGUGUUGAGUCGUAGCUAUGCGUAAGUGAUGUGCAGGGCUUAACUAUGUCUUAGCCUUGUGUUGGCCGCAGCUAGGUUAGUGUUGUAUUAGGUGCAAUUAGGUGUCUAUGUUUGGGUGUUGUGUUGCACAUCUACGUGUGAUACGUAUAAGUAUUGUCUUUAUUGGUGUACUUAAUAUAAUUGUGUUUGGGUCUGAAAUCUUAGAUUUGGAUCGAGAUGGAGUUAGCCUAGGAAGAAGCCCACAAGUUUCGGUACGAUGGUGAAAUAUUCGGCCCAAUAGUAAGGUGUUGAUGACUCGAUCGUGUCCCAGAGUUCCCAAUUCAGAGAUUAGGAAUGGAUUAUGAUUUGGCCAAGUCCUGGUUAAAGUGGGUUUCUGUGAAGAUCAGGGCGGGUUUUGAUAAGAUUUGGAUUGAAUUGUUUAGGUAUAAAAAUUAAAGAAAACUAAUGAAAGGGACUUCAAUACUUUGAAUUUUAGCCAAAAAUCAUGUAAUAACUUUAUUUAAUGGCUAGUACAAAAUCCAAUAUCAAGCCAGCCCAAUAAGACUAGCCCAAAAAAUAUAAUAUAUCGAGCUUCCGAUUUUACCCUUGACGUUAAGUCUUGUCCGUUGGUCCGUUUCGCUUUAGAUGGAGAGAGAGAAGGUUUAUAGAUUCAGAUCUUUUCGUUAAUUUCAUCACAAUUCCAACACACGUAUCGACAACCCCAACAACUUUGGAAAAUGCAAUCGAAAUCCCGAUGCAUGUGAACAGUAGAUGCAGAUCUCGCUUCGGAAAUAAGCGAAGGAUGGGGAGGUUGGGGGCUUUUCGUCCGUCUUCUCAAAUCUCCAGAAAAUCGCCGAAGAGAUCUCUCGCAAUGCAGCUGUGGUUGCUUAAACGGUAGUGAAAAGCCUUGUUGACAUGCAGGCUGUUGAGGAUUCAGAAGAAUCUUCUAAGGACGAGGAACGGGAUAUUGAAAAGGAAAAGCCAAGACGGCACCAAGAGCCAAAAUGAGCAUGAAAAGCCAAGAAAUGCUGCUCUUGAUAAAUUAGAGAAAGCUAGAAUUCAUAUUGCAGGUUGUUGCUGAGUGAAGGUAAAAAAUUUUGAGUUAUCAGUCAUACUAUUUUGUUGUAAGAAAAGUUGUUUGGUGCGGAUUUGUAGCUCUUCUAAAAUUGAAUCAUAAUUAUUUAUAUGUCACUUUGCACUCUGCAAUCAUUUCCUAUAGUAGGAUGGUGAGGGAGAAGGGAUGGGGACCCAACCGAUUACAAAAUAUGCUCACUUUGCACUAUGUUCAGUUUAAGAAGUAGUCAGUGUGUAAUUUAAAAAAUAGUGAUAGUACCCGUGUUUAGUUCUAGAAACAGUCAGUGUUUAGUUUACGAAAUAAUGAUAGUACAAGUAUUCAGUUUAAGAAAUAAUCAGUGCUCACUUUAAAAAAUAGUGAUAUUGUCACGUUUAGGCCUAAAAAUAGUUAGUGGUCAGUUUACGAAAUAAUGAUAGUACCAGUGUUCAAUUUAAGAAAUAGUCAAUGUUCCAUUCUAGAAAUAGUCUGUGUUCAAUUUAAGAAAUAGUGAUAGUACCAGUGUUCAAUUUAUGAAACAGUGAUAGUACCAGUGUUCAGUUUAAGAAAUAAUCAAUGCUCACUUAAAGAAAUAGUAAUAGUAUCGUGUUUAGUUCAAGAAAUAGUUAGUGGUCAGUUUACGAAAUAGUAAUAUUACCACUGUUCAGUUUAAAAAAUAAUCAGUGCUCACUUUAAGAAAUAAUGAUAGUAUCGUGUUUAGUUCUAGAAAUAGUUAGUGGUCAGUUUACGAAAUAGUGAUAGUACUAGUAUUCAGUUUAAGAAAUAGUCAAUGUUCAAUUUUAAAAAUAGUCUGUGUUCAGUUUAAGAAAUAAUGAUAGUUCCAGUGUUCAGUUUACAAAAUAGUGAUAGUAUUAGUGUCCAGUUUAAGAAAUAGUCAGUACCCACUUUAAGAAAUAGUGACAGUUAGUGUUCAUUUUCAUUAAAAUUUAGGCUGUUUAUUUUUUUCUUUUAUAGAAAAUAAAAAACUAUAUUAA